rnacentral:lncRNA from 1 species
GUCUUCGUUGCUCUUGGGUGGCCGCGGCGCCCGCUCCCUCUGAAUUCGCCGGGCAGGGAUACAGCCGCCCGGGGCCUCUUGCUCGUGCUUGGUUUUCCGGACCUUGCUUCCUAAAGGGUCUUUAGGGGUUCCCGGACUCCUCCGCCUGGGAGCCUCUAUCCGCCUGGGAGCCUCUAUGCGCCCCGCAAAGCCCCCGGCAGAGCCGAGGGGAGGCUUCAUUGGCGACCUGGUGGGGCCUCGCGGCCCUGCUCCCUGACGUCAGCGCCGCCGCGGUGAUUUAACAGCUUUUGUUUUGGGCAGAAGAACCUAUGGGCACAAAAAGCAGGAACGAGUAGCGGUGGCUGAAGAACGAGCAGGAGCUUGAAUUUCAGUUUUCUUAUGAGGAAUUUUCCAGAAAAGAUAUCUUCACUGUGAAAUAACUAAAUAAAUGCCCACUCAGUACAACAAAAAUACCUGCUACAUGCUUCCUUCUGUAUGAAUACAUGAGACCUACCUUCAUUCAUGUUUCCUCUAUGAAGCUUUCCCUGCACUCCAAACACAGAGCUGAGACUUCCACCUAAUGUAGAAAGCUAGCACGAGCCGGCGCUGACAGAUGGAAGACUUGAGAUGUUACAAGAUUAUAUAUGGAAACACAAAAGGAGAUACCGGAGCCAUGACAGACUGUGAUGGGGCUGGUGGACAGUUCAGCAAGACAUUGAUAUUGUCCAUUGGCGCUCAGUUCAUCUGUAAUGACACAUUCAAGGAUGACGAUUAAUGUCCAAUAUGUAUAAAGUGGAUCCCUUUGUAAAAACAA